CGGCGUUGGAGCAGCUGGUCGUCUACUGCUGCUGCGUUCAGCAGCUUAUGGAGAAAAUGGAGCAGUAGUUCGGGAAGCCAUGGACGACGCAGAGGCAGCAAGAAGAAGCAACAAACAUGGCGUUAUGGCCAUGGCGAUGGGUCAACGACGAAGACGCAGCCAUGGACGAGCCUUUUGAGCUUGACAUGGAGAAGAUGGGCUUCUUGGUGGUGUGUGUGCUUGUGUCGAAGGAGACGAAGUUGCUGGAGCUUAAGGGGGAAGCCAUGGAUGAGCUUUGGAAAAACUUGGAGAAGUAGAAGCAAAAG
rnacentral:lncRNA from 1 species